AAGAGCUCAACUUUGGAAUCGCUCCGGCGAGUUGUAGUCUGGAGGUGGCCACCACGAGGUGUUCUAGCAGCAGGCAAGUCCUUUGGAACAAGGCGCCAGCGAGGGUGACAGCCCCGUACCUGCUUUUGCUAGUGCUUCCUGUGGCCCACCGACGAGUCGAGUUGUUUGGGAAUGCAGCUCUAAGUGGGUGGUAAAUUCCAUCUAAGGCUAAAUAUUGGCGAGAGACCGAUAGCGAACAAGUACAGUGAUGGAAAGAUGAAAAGCACUUUGAAAAGAGAGUGAAACAGUACGUGAAAUUGUUGAAAGGGAAGGGCUUGCACCCAGACACGGUUUCGGCCGGGCCAGCAUCAAGUAGAACGGGGUUAAAAGACUUGGGGAAUGUAGCUACUUCGGUAGUGUUAUAGCCCUUGGUGAUGACCCCUGUUUUGCUUGAGGACAGCGGUCUCUAGGAUGCUGGCGCAAUGGUUGCAAGCCACCCGU
rnacentral:rRNA from 1 species